rnacentral:tRNA from 1 species
GGGCGGGUAGCUCAGCCGGUUAGAGCGCGGGACUCAUAAUCCCUCGGUCGCAGGUUCGAAUCCUGCCCCGCCCA